GCCGAGGUAGCUCAGAAGUAGAGCAGGGCUUUUGUAAAGCUCAGGCCGGGAUUGCAAAAUUCCCCCUCGGCU
rnacentral:tRNA from 1 species